UACGUAGGGUGCAAGCGUUGAUCGGAAUUACUGGGCGUAAAGCGCACGCAGGCGGUUUGUUAAGUCAGAUGUGAAAUCCCCCGGCUCAACCUGGGAACUGCAUGUGAAACUGGAAGGCUUGAGUAUCGUAGAGGGGGGUAGAAUUCCAGGUGUAGCGGUGAAAUGCGUAGAGAUCUGGAGGAAUACCGGUGGCGAAGGCGGCCCCCUGGACGAAUACUGACGCUCAGGUGCGAAAGCGUGGGGAGCAAACAGG
rnacentral:rRNA from 1 species